rnacentral:rRNA from 1 species
CCUACGGGAGGCAGCAGUGAGGAAUAUUGGUCAAUGGACGAGAGUCUGAACCAGCCAAGUAGCGUGAAGGAUGACUGCCCUAUGGGUUGUAAACUUCUUUUAUAAAGGAAUAAAACGAGGCACGUGUGCCUUUUUGCAUGUACUUUAUGAAUAAGGAUCGGCUAACUCCGUGCCAGCAGCCGCGGUAAUACGGAGGAUCCGAGCGUUACCCGGAUUUAUUGGGUUUAAAGGGAGCGUAGAUGGGUUGUUAAGUCAGUUGUGAAAGUUUGCGGCUCAACCGUAAAAUUGCAAUUGAUACUGGCAGUCUUGAGUACAGUUGAGGUAGGCGGAAUUCGUGGUGUAGCGGUGAAAUGCUUAGAUAUCACGAAGAACCCCGAUUGCGAAGGCAGCUUACUAAACUGUGACUGACAUUGAUGCUCGAAAGCGUGGGUAGCAAACAGGAUUAGAUACCCCAGUAGUC